AUGUGCGGGACGCAUGAUGGGGGCUUUAUAUAUGAGGGGCGCAUGAUGGAUGCAUUAUAUGUGAGGGGCAAAGAAUGGGGGCAUUAUAUGUGAAGGGCACAGCACAGGGGGCAUUAAAUGUGUGGGGCACAUGACAGGAGCAUUCUAUGUGAGGGGCACAGCACAGAGGGCAUUAUUAUGUGGGGGAACAGGACGGGUCAUAUUAUAUGUAGGGGCACAAGAUGGGGCAUUAUUACUAUAUGUGAAGGCACAGAGUGUUUUGCCUUUCAGAAGUAUAGUGUAUAUUGUGAGGAAUUUCUGGGGUGGUACGUUUUUUAGGGGCCACAAUACAUUACGGUAUUUUACUCAGAGGGUAGUUACAGCACAGCAAGUUAUAUUCAGAGAAUGUACUGUGUGGUAGUAUUAGAUUUAGAGGGCACAGUGUGUGUUAGUAUUAUAUUCAGUGGGUACAGUGUGUGAUAGUAUUAUAUUUAGAGGGUGCAGCGUGUGAUAGUAUUAUAUUCAGAGGGUGCAGUGUUUGGUAGUAUUAAAUUUAGAGGGCACAGAGUGUGGUAGUAUUAUAUUCAGAGGGUACAGUGUAUGGUGGUAUUAUAUUCAGAGGGUACAGUGUGUUGUUUAUUCAGGGGGUACAGUAUGUCAGAAUUAUAUUAGGAGGGUGUGUGCCAGUAUUAUAUUCAAAGAAUACAGUGUUUGGCAGUAUUAUAAUAAUUAUUGUUUUCAUAUAGAGGAUCAGAAUGCAUUGGCAUAGUGAGGAGACGUCUGGGCAUCAAGUUCUGCAGAGAGAAGAUUUAGCUGGAACAAAUCCUGGCGCCAAUCAGAGAGCAGCACUACUGAAAUAGAACUCCCAGGAGUGAGGGGCCGGUGCUGGACACUGUGUAGGGACGCGGGAAUGCAAAGUCAUACACAUGACUGUGACUGGUAAGUGUUACAUUGUUGUGUCCAAAAGAUCUUUAGUGCAGUUCCAUGUGUAUUUCUAUGAUAAACAUGUAAAUGAUUUAUCUUUUUUUUCUUAUCUUAGAUGCACUAUCUCCAGGACAUGGAGUAGCAUUUCCGGACCUACAGCAAGACGUUGGAUGAAGGCAUAGCCCCAGAAAUAACACUGGUCCUGUUCAUCAGUGAGGGGCCGGUGCUGGACACUGUGUAGGGACACGGGAAUGCAAAGUCAUGCACAUGACUGUGACUGAUGCACUAUUUCCAGGACAUGGAGUAGCAUUUCGGGACCUACAGCAAGACGUUGGAUGAAGGCACAGGCCUAGGAAUCAUGCACAUACACAGAAACAUUUGCCCAAAUUCUAGAGGUAACCUCCUUUAGUAUGCCCAGAGGAAGGGCCAUACAGUAGCCAUGGAUUCCCUACAGGUUUCCUCCCCUCUGGAGGUUUUUCCUGUCCUGAGUAUUAGUUACUGUACGCUCUUUGUGAGUGAUGGGAGGUUACAAAAAAUCCCCUACACAAACAUUUUAAUAAAUAAUAAAUAAAG